rnacentral:rRNA from 1 species
AACGAACGCUGGCGGCGUGCUUAACACAUGCAAGUCGAACGGAAAGGCCCUGCUUUUGUGGGGUGCUCGAGGGGCGAACGGGUGAGUAACACGUGAGUAACCUGCCCUUGACUUUGGGAUAACUUCAGGAAACUGGGGCUAAUACCGGAUAGGAGCUCCUGCUGCAUGGUGGGGGUUGGAAAGUUUCGGCGGUUGGGGAUGGACUCGCGGCUUAUCAGCUUGUUGGUGGGGUAGUGGCUUACCAAGGCUUUGACGGGUAGCCGGCCUGAGAGGGUGACCGGCCACCUUGGGCCUGAGAGACGGACCAGUGUGCUACGGGAGGCAGCAGUGGGGAAUAUUGCACAAUGGGCGGAAGCCUGAUGCAGCAACGCCGCGUGCGGGAUGACGGCCUUCGGGUUGUAAACCGCUUUCGCCUGUGACGAAGCGUGAGUGACGGUAAUGGGUAAAGAAGCACCGGCUAACUACGUG